rnacentral:lncRNA from 1 species
GCAGAUGGUCCAUUCAGUUUCCUAAUCUGAAUCAUGCAUCUGGUUACGAUUCUUAAUAUUUUAUAAAAAGAAGUGUUUACUCCAGGAUCUCCUCAGCAGUGCCAGAAAGAUUGUUCACAGUCUAAUCAAGCAGAAUGUAGUUUUCCCAGUUAGCACUUCUCUCAUGCUUGCUUCCUCUCCUUCAGAGUAAUGGAGAAGGAGCACUUGUACUGCCUCAGUAGUGACAAGACUUUGAUAAUUUCUGCAGAAUCAUGAAGUUCUUUUUACAAAUAAGUAUUUUGGUAUUUUCCUUUUUAAAAACAAAUUAUUUGGAUUAUACAAACAUGUAUAGUAUAACUGUGAAAAAUAACUGUUUUUGAGAUUGAACAUAAUACCCCUUGGGCCAUAGACUAAAGAAAAGCUUUACAAACUGAAUAUCAUAACCCCAAAAAUAAAGACCCCUCCAGAUCCUUUUUGCCUUAUAAAUACUUCCUCAGGAGAACUCCAUGGAUUUACCCAGUUUGUUUUUUAACAGACAGUUGUUUUCAAAGUUAAAAAUUUGAAGCCUUAAUGUUUACCUUCUGUUUAUGGGUAACAAGAAUUUUAAAAAUACAAAAAUGAGGAACUCCGGCAUCUUAGCUAUAAUAAAUUAUGCUCUAAAAUGAAGAGCUCUUUGUUGAAUUACAUUGCAAACCCUACAAUUUAACCAGUCACCUACCCUGUACUUUAGGCUAAGGUAGUUAUCCAGGCAAGGAAAAGUGCUUGUUUAAACAUACAAGCUCGUCACUACAAGAGUUGUGAGAUCUACAAUAAUCGAAAAGUAAGACUGAAGGCUUCUCCCCUUUGGCUUCUGUCCAAGAUCUUUGCUCUUUACUAUUAAUGACUGUUUAUGUUAAACAGAAUGAACUGGAUGUCCAAUUGUGAGCUAUAAACAGAAUGUCUUAAUCGGUUAUUAAAUAACACACAGUGUUUAAUGUAUAUUGUAUGUUACCAAAUUGCUAUAAACUGGUGUUGAAAGUCUAUUUGGUCAAUGGAUAUUUAGCUCACCCAGCCUUUGCUUUACCAUGAAAGUUAGAAUGAAUAGUGCGCCAGACAGUAACUUGCCGUUGUUGCUGUCCAAGUCCUGCUAAUUGGUACUAUGUCAUUACAAAGAAAACAGUGCUGUUGUAGCAUCCCUCAGAAUGUUUUCCCUUCUAAACAUAACAUUGGAUCGAACGAUGGCACAUCUCACAUUGUUGUAGUUGUGUAUCCUGAAGACGACCUUUCUUCCAGGUAAGCUGCACAUUUGUGUUGUUGCUGAGCCCCUCCAAGGUUCCAGAUUAAACCUGUGAAGAUUGGUAUAUUGGU